UAAACCUCACCCUAUUGUUUAUUCAAUAGCUGGUGCUUUGGGUGUUGCCGUCUGGCUCGCCUUAAAUGACUAAGUGGAAUGCGUAAUAAGUUCUCGCAACCCUCCACUCUAACACACUUUAUA
rnacentral:misc_RNA from 1 species